GCUUCCAAGUAGCUGGGAAUACAGGCGCCCGCCACCACGCCCGGCUAAUAUUUUUGUAUUUUUAGUAUAGACAGGGUUUCACCGUGUUAGCCAGGAUGGUCUUGAUCUCCUGACCUCGUGAUCCGCCCGCCUCGGCCUCCGAAAGCGCUGGGAUUACAGGCGUGAGCCACCGCGCCCGGCCAUUGCUUUCUUGCAGCAACUGGGGAUUGUUGGUAACUGAGGUGACUUAACAAUGAAACAAGUCAGAAAUGUCCUGAUAGAGACCAAAGGAAGACAAUAUUUCAGACUCCUCUGGUGAGUAUAUAAAUCUUGAGCAAUAAUUGGGUACUAAAUUAUUUGACAUCUAAAAUGGCAAUAAAAGACAUUGUGUUAAAUCCUUAUUUAUUUAAAAUAAAACAGAUUUAUUGAAAGAAAUGAACUAUUUCUGAAACUCAAAAAAUAUAUAAUAGUUUAUCACAAGGGUGCUUCUGUAAAGUAUAUUGAGUGACAUGCAGAAAAAUAGAUCAGAUUUUCUGAGAUAGCGAAAUGGUGUUUAAGUGUGACCUAAAGUCUGUGUGACUUCACAUUUCCUAGCUUUCUGCUUCUAUCUCCUCCAAAAUGUUGUACACUACAGCUUCACCUUGUGCCACACACCACUCAUCCGUUUUUUUAUUGCUUCUGGACGAACGAUUAUUUUUAGCAAUGACCUGCAAGCCUUUUCGAGAAUGCUUAGAUCAACUUGCCAGAAUGUCUUGCUUCAUGCACAGACCCAGAUUCUAGUCUCACCAGGCUUCUCUCUGAAUAUUUUGAACAUUCAAAUGCAACUUUAGAUUUGUGUCCAACUCUUUCUUUCCUAAAUCUAACUCUCCUGACAAGAAUUCUCCCACAAAGGUGGUGUCAAAUAUUUUCCAAUCUAUCAUCAUAAUCUUGAACUAAACUCUUUCAUCAAAUCUACUUGACAGCUGUCAUUUUUUCUAUAUAUAUCCAUAUAACAUUUAUUUUUAUCUGUCAAUUCCCUAUGUCAUUAAAAAUCAAAAUAUAUGAGGAUAGAGGUUGUGUCUAAUUUUCAUCGUAUAUUUCUAAGACAGCAAAAGUUAACCAUUCAGGAGAUGACCAAAAACUUUAUUAAAAUGGGGAAGAAUGUAACACUAACAAAUCUAUUUAGAGGAGAAUGUGUAUUUUCUUAUCACAUUAAAAUCUUUUUUUAAUUCAAAGAAAAUAUCUGAAUUUCAGCGAGUGAUCUGAUUAAGGCAUGAUUUUGUACCUAUGUCUCUUUCUUUCAUUUUAAAGUUUUUUUUCCCCAAGUCUCAAUUAAGUAUUAAAUAUUGUGAUGUUAACACGUACUCUUUCCCUAACACACACUCUCUCUCUCUCUCUCUGUCUCUCUCAAUCUCUCUCUCUCUCUCUCCCUCACAACAACAGCUUUUCUUGAGAAGUCACCUUAAACCAGUGGGCUUGGGAACCUGACUUAAAUGAGCUUUUAGUGAGAAGUGGCAUUUUUGGAAACUUUAGGCUUAAUCUUUUUUGACUUGACAAAAGAACUUCUAAGGGUGGCUCCUGGUACUGUUUCCUGGCCACUUGCUUCUUUUCCUGUGUAGUUGCAUGUUAAACAUGAUGACUUGCUGUAUAGAAGCCAUGUGUUGUCAUAAUGUAACAUCAUUAAACAAAGUGUUUAGAGCAGUUUUAGCUGAGCCAGAACAUGAACAACAAAACCCGCCAAUUACAGUGUCAUUUUGUGUAGUUGUUAAGGUUUCAAAUGUCUCCAACUUUUUCUGGUAGGCCAUAUUGAGCAUGUCACAGUGAACAUCUGAGAUAACGAUUUGCUAGGCAAUGUGCAAUUCUCGCUCCUUUUUUUAAUAUCAGAGAAGAAAGAGUUCUUUAUAAUAAUUUGGCUCAAAUGUCUACACACAUUGCUCCAGCGUCUGUAGCAGCAUGUGUUUCUAGGAUUGUUCUGGAAGAGAAAAUGCAGAAACAGCAGGGAGCAGAAGAUAAACAGGCAAUCCGUGACUCAUUAAAACAAGCAUUGGUCGCCAACAUUGUGGAGUGUGUGAAGACCCCAGAUCCAACUCGCCUAUAAACUUUUUUUUACCAGCUGGACUUAGCAUCUGCCAGAGUUUGGAAAGAGAGAUAAUCUGGUACAAAUGAUUUCAGUGUGUCGCAUUUAUUAACCUGCCACCUUACAUAACUCUGCUGAUUGGGAACUCAGGGAAAUGUUUGAGCAAUGACACAGCUUAUUGUUGGAAUGUUACAACUUUACUAAUAAAGAUGCAAGUUACUGUUUAAAAAAAAAUACAAAGACCACAGAGCAAUUGGAAAAUAAAAAUGAAGCAAAGCUAAAAAGCAUCAUGGUCUUGAGAAAUGUACGUGCCAGAAAAAUAAUUGAAAUUCAGUUUGAAUUUUGAUCAUUUUCAGUGCUUUACAUCAAUUAGGCAGGAAAAGUAUUUUAUUUUUAAAUAGUUGUCACAUUAGUUUGUCUUAACAGCUUUGAUGUAAAUAAAUGCCAAACUGGGAGCAUUAUCAUGUCCUUUCCAAACUACUUACUGUUCUAAAUGAAUGAUUCGCUUCUGUUGUUAAAUCUCUGACAAUUGCUAGAAGGGCAUUUUCACAGUAGAACUGAAGGAAAAGUAAAAUAGUGCCCAUUUUUGUUUAUAUACAAAACCGUGUCCAUUUUUGUCUUAAACAGCCUGCCUGGCUUCACAGUUUAUUAAAGACAAAGAACAUUACCCCAGGAAUAAAAUCAGUACCGAUAACCUGCAUACUUUUCAUUCUUGGGCUUUGAUUUACUUCCUUUUUUGCCUCAAAGUUUGCUUGGGAUCAUUUGGUCAAGAGGUGGAAACACCAAAGAGCAAUUUUCUUUUUUCUAUUUCUUAUCCAGAUCUCAUGCCAGUAAUUUCAAAUUAAUGAGGAUGUUUACUCUCUGGUACAAAAUUUGCACAUACUAGCUUAUAAAAUAUGGAUAAGCUGGUUUCCUAUAACAAAAUAUAGCCCUACCAUUUCAAAAAUGAAAACUGCAGAGACUUUGGAAAAAAAUCAGCUGAAGGAAUUCUUCACGUUUCACAAUGGUUAGCCUAUUAUUUGUAGUUUUGAAACUUUAUUGGUCCCCAAUCUAAUCUUUUCUGAGUAUAAAAACAUUAACAUAUGGUUUAACACAGCACAGGGCUGGAAAGUCCAUAUCCCAAAUGCAUAUUGUAUGCAGGGUGACAUUCACACUAAAUACCAUCCCUCAGGGUCUGUACUCCAUUUUACCUGGGAUUGGAGAGCCAUGAAAUCCCUGGAAAAGUUGUUCAUGAGUCUGAACCAAAUGGUGUGCAGUGUACUGAGAUACUAACAGUCUAUGCUUCUGCCAAAGGUUGCGGCUCAAAUGUCUCUCUAAGUAACAUUAAAAAUCUGCUGCUUCAUGCCUAUGAAUUUCAAUAUUUAUAGCAUUCAAUAAAACGGUCCACUGUCAGAGAGAGAUGUGCCACUGUGCACUCUCUGAGCAGAUGGGCGGCAAUAUGGCACAUUUACAUGGACCAGCUGUGGAGCGCAGAAAUGGAUGCUGGUCAGGGGCAAGGUGCAGGCCCCACAUCUGGAAUUCUAACCGACUGGCCUCGGUACCCAUUGUAAACUUUCCUUCCACAGGGUGAGCUCUGAUUUAGAGCUGCUCACUAGUGUGCCUUAAACUGCAUCAAGAGUCCUCAUUAACGCAAGAGACUAGAGGGAGGUUAGGGCCUGGAAUCCCUCUGUCGGGCAUCUGUUAGAGUCUGUGGAUGGCACUCUGUAGUCGUUAUAGAUGCACCCAGGGGAAGAUUCUCUCAGGCAUGAUGCAGUGUUCUCUAUUUAACUGAUUUUAUACCCCCAAAAAAGAGGUUUUUAUUAUAAACAGAGCUACUUUUUCCAUAUCCCCUUUUCUAAAUGGAUCAGAAUAUACCUCAGAGAAAGGACAAUUUCUAGAAUAUUUAAAAAUUUCGUAGAAAUGUCGAAUUCUUUUUUCAAGUCUCAAAUGGAACGUUGUCUUAUUUUGGGUAGAAUCAGAAUGGUUCAAAUGCAGUUAGAAGUUUCUAAAAUAUAUGAAAUUCUUAGACUAGCUGUUUUCAUUGUAGUAUCACUAUUCAGACAAUCAAAACAGCUUAGUUGUGUGUCAUUUAAAUAAUUCAACUGACUUGAUAGAAAGGUAAGCUGCUUUUGACAUUUUAAAUAUGAACAAGAAAUGGUUUGUUACAUUCAAAUACUCAUCAGAAAUAACAUUCCUGUUUCAUUUUCAAUAAAUACUUUUAAGAGAAAGUUCUACUCAUUCUUUCAUUUUGUAAAAUAAUCUUUCCCACAUUUUCCAAUUAUUGACUAAGAUGUAUUUGGUCUUCAGUGGUCCCAUCUCUUGAAUAGUUGUUUAUAUCCUUACGUUACUGAGUAUUCAUUUUCUAUGACAAUCUCUCAAGAUCUAUUCCAGUCUCCUUUCACCCCCAAGAGAAACGCAGGUAUUUUAAGCAAGUGAGACAAUACAACUCGUUAUCAAAUGGGUUAUGGUAACUCAAUCAUGUAAUGUAUGGAUAUUUUAGGGUCUCAUCAUUCAACACUCAACUUUAAAACUACUCUGAAAUCUAAACAUAGAUAUGUAUUUAUGCUAUUUGGCCUCAAUCUUCAAAAAGGAAAAUUUUGGCCAGGCGCGUUGGCUCACGCCUGUAAUUCCAGCACUUUGAGAGGCCGAGGGGGGCAGAUCACCUGAGGUCAGGAGUUCGAGACCAGCCUGGCCAACACGGAGAAACCCCAUCUCUACCAAAAGUACAAAACUAGCCAGGCGUGGUGGCACGUGCCUGUAAUUCCAGCCACGCAGGAGGCUGAGGCAGGAGAAUAGCUUGAA
rnacentral:lncRNA from 10 species